GCCGCCUUAGCUCAACGGUAGAGCAACUGUUUUGUAAACAGUAGGUUUUCGGUUCGAAUCCGAAAGGCGGCU
rfam:Parcubacteria (Moranbacteria) bacterium GW2011_GWA2_39_41 TT50_C0007, whole genome shotgun sequence.